AACGAACGCUGGCGGCGUGCCUAACACAUGCAAGUCGAACGAGAAAGGGGCUUCGGCUCCGAGUAAAGUGGCGCACGGGUGAGUAACACGUGGGUAACCUGCCUCUAAGAUUGGGAUAACUCGUCGAAAGAUGAGCUAAUACCGAAUAAGACCACAGUUCCCGCGGGAACAGGGGUCAAAGGUAGCCUCUGCUUGCAAGCUAUCACUUAGAGAUGGGCCUGCGCACCAUUAGCUAGUUGGUAGGGUAACGGCCUACCAAGGCAAAGAUGGUUAGCUGGUCUGAGAGGAUGAUCAGCCACACUGGAGCGGAGACACGGUCCAGACUCCUACGGGAGGCAGCAGUGGGGAAUAUUGCGCAAUGGGCGAAAGCUUGACGCAGCAACGCCGCGUGAGUGAUGAAGGCCUUCGGGUCGUAAAGCUCUGUCGGGAGGAACGAAUGCUCCUGAGGUUAACAGCCUCGGGAGGUGACGGUACCUUCAAAGGAAGCACCGGCUAACUCUGUG
rnacentral:rRNA from 1 species